AAUAGACGAAACACUCAACAGGCUUAUUCUUCAUUCACUGGCCAUGGUGGUUUGAGGGUUAACUCUAAGACGCACUCAGUCCUUUUCAGCCGACUGCUACAUCCGGGAGAAAAGCACCAUUGCCUGGGAAACUAAGUCACGUGAGGACCUGGGGACGCUAGGUGCCGGAAACUGACCUGAGCUGGGGCUUGUGCUUCCAGUGGGUGUUGGGGCGCCUGGUAUGCUGACAUCAGGUAAGCGGACUGCCUCGGGAAAGGCUUAAGGACAGGAGACCGGCAGCCUGAACUGGCUGGGGCGUCAGAAAGGCUUAGAUCUUGUAGCCAAGACAUCAGACCGCGGUGAAGUGGAGAGUGACCUGCAGUUGGAUGGCGGUGACUGCGUGUGGCUCUGGCAAGGACCACUCCCAUUGCUGGACUUCGCAUCCAACACCAGCCUCCAAUUUGUGGGUCCUCCAACCCAGGUUCCAGUCUGUCAAGUGUUCUAGACCUGGCUGCUGAAGACUGACGGGGCCCAGGGCCUGCCAACCCCAACGCCAUCACCACUUCGGAACCUAGGGUAACGCUGUCAGUCUCUGAUCACAGCUGCUGGCCUUGAGACCAGUUGGAAAAAGCUCCUCAAUACCUUGAGAGCCACAAGUCGGGGAGGAGAGGCCUAAAGUUCACGCCACUUUGUGGGGUUAUAAGAAAGAAUUCCCUUGAAGGAUGUAACCAAAGGCCUGAGGAUACUGUUUUCUUCUUUCACAUGUCAACUGCUCUUCUAAGCAAAAAGAGACUUGUCUUGAAUUCUUUCUUGUGUGACAUCCAAGAGCCCUCCCUUUGGGAUUGGAUUCAGACUCCUUUCUGGUAACAUCUUUCUGGCAAACUACUAAGGGAUUAUACUGAAGAGACCCUCGACCCAAAGGAAAAUUAUCUGUGUGCAGCACCAAUUGGCCAACUUUAGGUAAUCAUGUGUGGAUAAAGGACGGGAGUACAGCCCCUCUAAAGCCACAAUGGAAAGGACCUCAGACCUGAUCCUGACCAAUCCCACAGCAGUGAAGGUAGAGGAAAUCCCAGCCUGAAUCCACCACAGCUGUGUAAAAACCAGCAACAGCUGAGACUUAGACCAAGGAAAGGACUGCAGAAUCACCUUAAAAGGACAACAAGCCUUGCUCCAGCCAUGUCCUGGAAGCUGGCUGGUCCACGCAUGGCCAAAGCAUGAGGAGAUUCAUCAUGGGACUCAUUCUUCUUAAUAUUUGGACUUGCACAGUAAGAACAUUAACUAAUUUUGAAGAAUUCCCUCAGUAUGUACACCAGCAUUUCUCUAUUGAGAUUGAAGAUAUGAGGUGGAAGGGAAAAAGAAGAUGGCAUGGUAGAAGAAACUCAGGAUUGCAGCUCUAAGUGAAGACACAGAGGGGACUUAAAAUAGCUUACAAUAGCUUGGGAUUCAUCUAAGCAAACAGAGAAGGCACAAGACUCUUUUCUGGGGAGAAACCUGUUUUUCUUUAUGGAAUCCCAAGAUUGGAUCCACCAUGGAAACUCAACAAAGAAGCAUUCAACUUAAUCUUCACUCUAGAUCAAGUGAACCUAAAAAACAUUUACAGAACAUGUCAUGCAACAGCUACAGAAUACACAUACUUCUCAUCAGCACAUGGAAUAUUCUCCAGGAUAGACCAUAUAUUAGCCACAAAACAAGACUCAAAAAAUUCAAAAAAGAUCUGAGCAAGCAGCCUGACUAGAUGCAGCUGAGAAGUAGUGCUCCCACAGAAAGAAAACACGAUUUUAACCACACAAUAUAAAUUGAACAGAUCUUUGGAGAGAAAAUGCCAAAUCUGGAUGGAAAGCAUCUGUAGUUUUGUCUGUCCCCUUUUCUGGCCACUGCACCCUUUCUUUCAUGAAUAUUUUUUCUUCCCAUCAUGGACUGAAUGUCUCUGUCUCCUCCAAAUUCAUAUGUUGAAGCCCUAAUUCUCUGUGUGGCUGUAGUCGAAGAUGAGGCCUCUCAGGAAGUCAUUAAGGUUAAAUAAGGUCCCAAGGGUGGGGCCCUGAUUCAGUACUAUUGGUGUCCUUAUAAGACGAGACACCAGAGAGUGCACUCACUCUCUCUCCAUACAAAUACAAAGAAGAAGUCACAUGAGCACACAAUAUGGCAGCCACCUUCAGGCUAAGAGAAGAGGCCUCAGAAUGGAACUCACCUUGCAGGCACUUUGACGUUGAAUUUCCCAGCCUCCAGAACUCUGAGAAAUAAAUGUGUGUGGUUUGAGCCGCCCAGUCUGUAGUAUUUUGGCAUGGCACCCUGAACUAAUACAUCUCCCCUCCCUACUUCAACCACAUGGCACUAGAGGGCUUGGCAAUUUUAGUGUCCCAGCUACCCAGCCAACCCAGACGAGACCAAACAAACCAAGCAGAAACUUUCUUCUGGAAUUUUCUGAAUAGAAACUAAUGGAGGGGAGUUCCACCCUUUCUUGGGGCAAAGCUAAGAGAUGGAAGCCUUGUGCUAUCGACGGCCUGAUUCCAACCUUCUGGGGAAAGUUGCUCUGAGAGCACAAAACUGAUCUGCAGACUGAGGUGAAGACAAAGAUAAAGGAAGGAGCCUGCAAAUCCUAACAGUGCUAGUGACUCUGAGUCCAGGUAUUCCUGAGCCCCAACUGUUCUCUGCCCUGCCCGUGGCUAACUUACUGACCAAUGAACCUCCAUUCUUGCCUAAGAAAACUCAAGUCAAUUUUCUGUCACUCACACCCAAAGAGCCCUGACUGCAGUUGCAGGGCAUGCCAGAACUGGAAUGGCUGGGCAGAGGAUGGUGUGGGUGAAAUCAGCUGUGACAGACACAUGGGAAUUGCAGUUAUCACGUGGCCUCUAUGAGGUCUAUUUCCAGCUUCGACUAUGAAGAAGACUGGGCUCAAAUACUCAAGAGGUCAGAGUGAGGGGUCUGGUCAUAGGUGCCAUGCUCAGAGCCACGUUUACAUGGUCCAGAAUUUUUGUCAUGAAGGGCUUUGCCAUCAGAGACAGUUUUAGUCACAUUUUAAGUUAACUUGAUCAAUUGUUCUCCUACUUUCAGGAUCUUUACACUAGGCUGCCCUGUGUGGAUAUUGGGAAGCCAUAGGCAUUCUGGUCAGAAAUCAGAUUACGAAAAGGGCUCCUGCCAGUGUGCUCAGGAUUCCAGAGGGCAGGACCGAGGAGUGGUGAGAGGAGCCCAGCCUGGGCAGCCGAGAGUUGUACAUCACUCCUGAUCCAUCUCCUGAAACUUUUCACCCUGAGGGUGAAACGUGAGAGUUUUGACCCCAGCUGGGGCACACAUGGGAAAGACAAUGCCUAUGUCCCCAACUACUUUCCCCAUUAGAACUGGUCAUUGCACCAAGCACCUUUCAUCAUUAAAAGGGGACAAAACAAAGGUCACUUUCUCAAUGGAUGGGUCUUCUUGGUCCAUCUUAUGCUCCCAACAGAGCUCUCUCCCUGGGAUGGAAAGGUGCCAUUCCAGGGCAGCCCUUGGGGUGACAGGCCUCAUCUGAAGAUAUUUUGCUGAAAAUUGUCACUUUCCUGCACAAGUACAGUUUGGCAGUUUAGCCAUUUAUGCUAGUGUUCCAUUAUUGGAGUGCUAAGCUUGUGGAAGUUAUUUACAUCCUACUGCUCAAGGUCAUCGCCAAGGUCUGAUUUUUCACAAAAAACAGUUUCAACCUCCAGCAUAAAUGAGUUAAUUCAAAUUAAAUCCAGAAGAGGGGAGGGAUCCAAGAUGGCCAAGUAGGAGCAGCUCAGGAUUGCAGCUCUAAGUGAAAGCGUGGAGGGUGAGUGGACGCCGCAUUUCCAGAUGGAAUUUUAUUGCCCACAGACCAGGAGAUUCCCAGAUGGAGGAGCCUGAUGGCUCGCCAAAGCAGCUGUUUUGGCAGGUGCUGCUGUUUUGCUGGUACCCCAGCACGGCAGUUGUCCAUACAAAAUACAUGUGUCUGGGCACUGUUUUGGCAGGCGAUUGGAGCUUUGGGAAGGCAGAGUAGCCCAUUCAUCUGAUUAAAAAGGGGACUGAAACAGGGAGCCAGGCCAGGAGAUUCCCAGGCAAAAAAGUGCCACGAAUUUCAGUGUUGCUGUUUCAGCCAGUGCAGUGGGUGGCUGCACGGGAAAUCACAGAGAUCCUGGCACCUUUUCAACAGGCAACUGGAACACCUGGGAGACAGUCAACCGUUCAACUAGAAAAAAAAAAAAAAAAAGGAAGGCUCUAAGGCAGGGAGCCAGAUGAUCAGGCUUGGCUGGUCCCACCCCUACAAAAAACCAGCAAUCGGAAACACUCUGGAUUGAGACUUUCACAGCAAGCACAGCUGAACUUGGGAUGGUCCAGCUCUGUGGGGGAGGGGCGUCUGUCAUUACUGAGGCAGUCCACCACUAUGGAGGUACUUUGUCAUUGCUGAGGCAGCCCACCAUUGCCGAGGCAACCCCGCCAUUACUGAGAGAGUCUGCCAUUAUAGAGGUGGGCCACCAUUGCUGAGGCAGUUCUAACUACACCCAUAUAAACAGGACUGCAGGCAAGUUCACACGGCAACUGGGCAGAGCCCACAGCAGCUCAGCAAAACCACUGUAGGCAGACAGUGACUUGGCUGCCUGCUCGCUGGGCAGGGCAGCCCUGAAAAAAGCCAGCAGCACAACAGAAACUCAUAAAUAAAGCCCUAACUCCCCAGGAAAGAGCACCUGGGGGGAAAAAGGAAAGGGUUAUGAGUUCUGCUGCAGCAGACUUAAAUGUACCUGCCUAGCAGCUCUGAACAAACAAUGUAACUCACAUCUCAGCACUUGAGCUCCUAUAAAGGACAGACUGUCUCCUCAAGAGCUCCCUGACCCCUGUAUAUCCAAAGAGUCACCUCAUAAAGGAGAGCUCAGACUGACAUCUGGUGGGUAUACUUCUGGGACAAAGAUAGCAGAAGAAGAAAAUGGCAACAACCCUUACUGUUCUGCAGCCACUGCAGGUGACCUCAGCAAUCCUAUAGCAGAGGAGCCAGACUUUUAGAACUAAGAAAUGGAAAGAAAUAACUUCAUCAUCAACAAUCUGAAUGUUCACUCAGAGACCCAAACUGAGAGUCAACAACUACAAAGACGACAGGUGAAUAAAUCCACAAAGAUGGGAAGAAACAAGGGCAAAAAGAAUGAAAACAACUAAAACUAAAAUGGCUCUCCUCCUACAAGGGAUUACAACUACUCACCAGCAAGGAAACAAGGCAGGAGGGAGAAUGAGUGUGAUGAAUUGACAGAAUCAGGCUUCAGAAGGUGGGUCACAAGAAACUUCUGUGAGCUAAAAGAACAUGUUCUAAGCCAAUGCAAAGAAAUUGAAAACGUUGAAAAAUGAUUUGACAAAAUGCUAAUGAGAAUAGACAACUUAGAGAGAAAUAUAAGUGAACUGAUGGAGCUGAAAAACACAACACAAGAACAUCUCAAAGCAUACACAAGUUUCAACAGCCAAAUUGAGCAAGCAGAAGAAAGGAUAUCAGAGGUCGAAGAUCAACUCAAUGAAAUAAAAUGAGAAGGCAAGGUUAGAGAAAAGGGGGUAAAAAGGAAUGAAGAAAGUCUCCAAGAAUUAUGGGACUAUGUGAAAAGACCUAACCUACGUUUGAUAGGUGUAGCUGAAUGUGACGGAGAGAAUAAAUCCAAGCUGGAUACUCUUCAGAAUUUUCCCCCAACCUAGCAAGGCAGGUUUUUUCCCACCGGUGCUCUUUCCUGGGGAGUUAGGGCUUUAUUUACGAGUUAUUCAGAAAAUUUAACCAACCUAGCAAGGCAGGUCAAUAACCAAGUCCAAAAAAUACAGAGAACAGAACAAAGAUAUUCCUCAAGAAGAGCAACCCCAAGGCACAUAAUCAUCAGAUUCACCAGGGGUGAAAGGAAGGAGAAAAUGCUAAGGGCAGCCAGAGACAAAGGUCAGGUUACCCACAAACGGAAGCCCAUCAGACUCAAAGCAGAUCUCUCACCAUAAACCCUAAAAGCCAGAAGAGAGUGGGGGCCAAUAUUCAACAUCCUUAAAGAAAAGAAAUUUCAACCCAGAAUUUCAUAUCCAGGCAAACUAAGCUUCAUAAGUGAAGGAAAAAUAAAGUCCUUUGUGAACAAGCAAGUACUCAGAGAUUUCAUCACCACUAGGCCUGCUUUACAAGAGCUCCUGAAAGAGGCACUAAACACAGAAAAAAACAAUCAGUACCAGCCACUGAAAAAACAUACCAAAUGUUAAAGAACAUCAACACAAUGAAGAAACUGCAUCAACUAACAGGCAAAACAGCCAGCUAACAUCAAAAUGGCAGUAUCAAAUUUACACAUAAUAUUAUCCCGAAAUGUAAAUAGGCUAAAUGCCCCAAUCAAAAGACACAGACUGGCAAAUUGGAUAAUAAGCCAAAAUCUAUCAGUGUGCUGUAUCCAGGAAACCCAUCAAACAUGCAAGGAUACACAAGGCUCAAAAUAAAGAGAUGGAGGAAGAUUUACCAAGCAAAUAGAGAGCAAAAAAAAGCAGAAGUUGCAAUUCUCAUCUCAGAUAAAAUGGACUGUAAAGCAGCAAAGAUCAAAAAAGACAAAGAAGGACAUUGCAUGAUGGUAAAAGGAUAAACUUUAGGAGGCCGAGGCAGGUGGAUCAUGAGGUAAAGAGAUCGAGACCAUCCUGGUCAACAUGGUGAAACCACAUCUCUACUAAAAAUACAAAAAAUUAGCUGGGCAUGGUGCCAUGUGCCUGUAAUCCCAGCUACUCAGGAGGCUGAGGCAGAAGAAUUGCCUGAACCCAGGAGGCGAAGGUUGCAGUGAGCCAAGAUGGCACCAUUGCACUCCAGCCUGGGUAACAAGAGUGAAACUCCAUCUCAAAAAAAAAAAAAGUAUCAAUGCAACAAGAAGAGCUAGUGAUCCAAAAUAUAUAUGCACCCAAUACAGGAGCACCCAGAUACAUAAGGCAAGCUCUUAAUGACUUACAAAGAGACUUAGACUCCCACAAAAUAACAGUGGGAGACUAACACCCCAUUAUCAAUAUUAGAUCAAUGAGACAGAAAAUUAACAAAGAUAUCCAGGACUUGAACUCAGACCUGGAACAAGCAAACCUAAUAGAAAUUUACCAAAUUCUCCACCCCACAUCCACAGAAAAUACAUUUGUCUCAGCACCACAUUGCACCUAUGUUAAAAUUGGCCACAUAAUGGGAAGUAAAUCACUACUCUGCAAAUGCAAAAAAAAUGAAAAUCAUAACAGUCUCUCCGACCACAGUGCAAUCAAGUUUCAGAAUUCAGAAACUAACUUAGAACCGCUCAGCUUCAUGAAAACUAAACAACUGGCUCUUGAAUGUUGACUGUGAAAACAAUGAAAUGAAGGCAGAAAUAAAGAUGUUCUUCAAAACCAAAGAGAACGAAGACAUAACAUACCAGAAUCUCUGAGACACAUUUAAAGCAGUCUCUAGAGGAAAAUAUAUAGCAAUAAAGGCCCACAUGAGAAGCAAGGAGAGAUCUAAAAUUGACCAUAUCAUCAAAAUUGAAAGAGCUCGAGGAGGAAGAUCAAAAACCUCAAAACCUAGCAGAAGACAAGAAAUAACUAAGAUCAGAGCAGAACUGAAGGAGAUAGAGACACGGAAAAACCUUCAAAAAAUCAAUAAAUUCAGUAUCUGGUUUCUUGAAAAGAUCAACAAAAUAGACAGACUCCUAGCCAGAUUAAUGAAAAAGAAAAGAGAGAAAAAUCAAAUAGAUACAAUAAAAAAAAUAAAGGGGAUAUCACUACAUAUUCCACAGAAAUUCAAACCAUCAUCAGAGAUUAUUAGAAACAACUCUAUUCACAUAAACUAGUAAACCUGGAAGAAAUGGAUAAAUUCCUGGACACUUACGUGCUCCCAAACCUAAACCAGGAAAAAAUAGAAAGGCUGAAUAGACCAAUAACAAGGUCUGAAGUUGAGGCAGCAAUUAAGAGCCUAUCACACAAAAAAAUCCCAGGUCCGGAUGGGUUCACAGCCGAAUUCUACCAGACACACAAGAGGAACUGGUACCAUUCCUUCUGAAACUAUUCCAAACAAUCCAAAAAGAGAGAAUCCUUCCCAAAUCAUUUUAUGAGACCAACAUCAUCCUAAUACCAAAACCCGGCAGAGACUCAGCAAGAAAGAAAACUUCAGGCCAAUAUUCAUGAUGAACAUAAAUGCAAAAAUUUUCAAUAAAAUACUGGCAAGCCAAUUGCAACAGCACAUCAAAAAGCUUAUCCACCACGAUCAAGUAGGAUUCAUCCUGGGGAUGCAAGGCUGGUUCAACAUAUGCAAGUCUAUAAACAUAAGUCAACACAUAAACAGAACCAAAGACAAAAACCAGAUGAUUAUCUCAAUUGAUUCAGAGAAGGCCUUUGACAAAGUUCAACAGCCCUUUAUGCUAAAAACCCUCAAUAAACUCGGUAUCGAUGGAACUUAUCUCAAAGUAAUAAAAGCUAUUUAUGACAAACCAACAGCCAAUAUCAUACUAAAUGGGCAAAAACUGGAAGCAUUCUCUUUGAAAUCUGGCACUAGACAAGGAUGCCCUCUCUCACCACUCUUAUUUGAUAUAGUAUUGGAAGGUCUACCUGAACAAGCAGGCAAGAAAAAGAAAUAAAGUGUAUCCAAAUAGAAAAAAAGGAAGUCAAAUUGUCUCUAUUUGCAGAUGACAUGAUUGUAAAUCUAGAAUCCAUCGUCUCAGCCCAAAAUCUCCUGAAACUGAUAAGCAACUUCAGCAAAGUCUCAGGAUACAAAAUCAAUGUGCAAAAAUCACAAGCAUUUCUAUACACCAAUAACAGACUCAAAGAGAGCCAAAUCAAGAACAAACUGCUAUUCACAAUUGCUGAAAAGAGAAUAAAAUACCUAGGAAUACAACUAACAAAAAACGUGAAGGACCUCUUCAAGGAGAACUACAAACCACUGCUCAAUGAAGUAAGAGAGGACACAAACGGAUUGAGAAACAUUCCAUGUUCAUGGUUAGGAAAAAUCAAUAUGAUGAAAAUGGUCACACUGCUCAAGGUAAUUUACAUAUUCAAUGCUAUCCCAAUCAAGCUACCAAUGACCUUCUUCACAGAACUGGAAAAAACCACCUUAAACUUCAUAUGGAACCAAAGGAGAGCCCGCAUAGUCAAGUCAAUUCUAAGCAAAAAGAUCACAGUUGGAGGUAUCACACUACUGGACUUCAAACUAUACUACAAGGCUACAGUAAUCAAAGCAGCAUGGUACUGGUACUAAAACAGAGAUAUAAACCAAUGAAACACAAGAGAGGCCUCAUAGGCAACACAACACAUCUACAACCAUCCGAUCUUUGAGAAACCUGACAAAAACAAGCAAUGGGAAAAGGAUUCCCUGUUUAAUACAUGGUGUUGGGAAAACUGGCUAGCCAUGUGCAGAAAGCAGAAACUGGACCCCUUUUUGACACCUUACACUAAAGUUAACUCCAGAUGAAUGAAAGACUUAAACAUAAGACCUGGCACCAUAAAAACCCUAGAAGGAAAUCUAGGCAAAACCAUCCAGGACAUAGGAGUAGGCAAGGACUUCAUGACCAAAAGACCAAAAGCAUUGGCAACAAAAGCCAAAAUAGACAAAUGGGACCUAAUCAAACUCCACAGCUUCUGCACAGCAAAAGAAACAGUCACCAGAGUGAAUCGGCAACCAACAGAAUGGGAAAAAAUUUUUGCAGUUUACCCAUCUGACAAAGGGCUGAUAUCCAGAAUUUACAAAGAACUAAAGCAGAUUUACAAGAAAAAAACAAACAAGCCCAUUCAAAAAUGGGCAAAGGAUAUGAACAGACACUUUACAAAAGAAGACAUACAUGAGGCCAACAAACAUAUGAAAAAAUGCUUAUCAUCACUGGUCAUUAGAGAAAUGCAAAUCAAAAUUACAUUGAGAUACCAUCUCAUGCCAGUUAGAAUGGCGAUCAUUAAAAAAUCUGGAUGAUACUGGAGAGGAUGUGAAGAAAUAGGAACACUUUUACACUGUUGGUGCAAGUGUUAAUUAGUUCAACCAUUCUGGAAGACAGUGUGGCGAUUCCUCAAGGACCUAGAAAUAGAAAUUUCAUUUGACCCAGCAAUCCCGUUACUGGGUGUAUAUUGAAAGGAUUAUAAAUUGUUCUACUAUAAGGACACAUGCACAUGAAUGUUCAUUGCAGCACUGUUUACAAUAGCAAAGACCUGGAACCAACCCAAAUGCCCAUGGAUGAUUGACUUGACAGGGAAAAUGUGGCACAUAUGCAUGAUGAAUAUUAUGCAGCCAUCAAAAUUGAUGGGUUCCUGUCUUUUGUAGAGACAUGGAUGAACCUGGAAACCAUCAUUCUCAGCAAACUGACGCAAGAGCAGAAAAUCAAGCACCACAUGUUCUCACUCAUAGGCGGGUGUCGAACAAUGAGAACACAUGAACACAGGGAGUGGAGCACUACACACUGGGUUCUU